ACUGCAGGGUGGGAGAUGCAACAAUGGCCUUGAGAACAGCAGGAAGUGUGUUGGUGGUCUUUCUCUGGUCUGUAGCAGUGAUUCUGGGUCAGAAUAGCAGGAUUGUGACCUACACCAAGAAACGUUUCUGUACCUUGAAGGGGUCAACAGUGGAUCUAUCCUGCUCUUACACAUAUCCCAGAGGUCAUACAGUCACAGCAACCACAUGGUAUAAAUGGAAGAGUUUGACGUGGACUCACAUCCCAGAUAAAUAUGAGGAUCGUAUAGAGUACCGUGGGAAUAAGGAGAAUGACUGCACCCUGAGAAUCACAGACCUGAGAGAGGAGGAUUCAGCAUCAUAUUACUUCUCAUUUUCAACAGGCUCAUGGACAUCUGGCUCAGUUGUCACUCUCUCUGUCACAGAUCUAAAGGUGACUGGGGGAACAAGAGGGGAGUAUUGGACGACACUGACCUGUAGCACCACCUGUACUCUGCCUGACAACCCCACCUACAUCUGGUACAAGAACGGACACAAAGUAAAGGAGGACACUUCCAGCCUGGACUCAGACUCCUUUAGUGAUGCAGACAGUUACUCCUGUGCUGUA